CCGCGCUCAGAGUCAUCACCCGGAGCCGCGCUCAGAGUCAUCUCCCGGAGCCGCGCUCGCAGCCGCCCCCUCCCUGUGUUCCCGCCUCGGCCACAUGAAGGCGAGCGAAAGCUUGGCCUGGCCUGGCCACGGGUAAGUGCACAGACGCUCAGUCCCUUUUUCGCCAAAGCAAAGUGGGACUGAGCGUUUCACGUGCGUAAGCAUGCGCUUGCUGUGUUUGGUCCGUUUGCCUUGAAAAGCCCAAAUCAUCUUUUUGCCGGUCACCUGCGAUUUCUUAUGCAAUCGUUGUGUCUGAUGGGAUUAGUGUUCUUUCUUGUAAUUCUUGUAAAUGUAUUUGAUAAGAUUUGAAUUUGUGCACACGGCGGCACCGUGCAAAAUUGACCACCCAUUCGAUGUAAAAGAAGGCCUCCCUCCCUCCCUCCCUCUCUCUCCCUCCUCCCUCCCUCCCUCAUCAAGGCAUCAUUGUGAGAUGGAUGAUAGUGAUGGCAAGCUCGCAAUGACAAAAAUGUAUUGAGUCUGGAAAUGUCUUCUUUUUUUUUUUUUUUUCUUUCGUCUCGUCUCGGGCGCUCGCUCCACUUCUCGUCUUCUUGCGGUUGAUGGCUGAUCCAGAGCAAGAUCCGGACCAAUCAAGUGGGGCGGGCUUAGCGCGAGCCCACUUUGAGAAGCAGCCGCCGUCCAACCUGAGGAAGUCCAACUUCUUCCACUUUGUCUUGGCGCUGUACGACCGGCGGGGCCAGCCGGUGGAAAUGGAGCGGGCCGCCUACGUGGACUUUGUGGAGAAGGAGAAGGAACCCACGGCAGAAAAAACCAACAACGGCAUUCAUUACAAGCUGCAGCUGCUCUACGCCAACGGCGCGCGAGGAGAGCAGGACCUCUACGUGCGACUCAUUGACUCCGUGAGCAAACAGGCCAUCAUCUACGAGGGUCAGGACAAGAAUCCGGAGAUGUGCCGAGUUCUGCUGACGCACGAGAUCAUGUGCAGCCGCUGCUGCGAUAAGAAAAGCUGCGGAAACAGAAACGAGACGCCCUCCGACCCGGUCGUCAUCGACAGGUUCUUCCUCAAGUUCUUCCUCAAGUGUAACCAAAAUUGUCUGAAAAACGCCGGAAACCCCAGAGACAUGAGGAGGUUUCAGGUGGCGGUGUGCACAACGCUCAACGUGGACGGGCACGUCCUGGCUGUCUCCGACAACAUGUUUGUGCACAACAACUCCAAACACGGCCGCCGAGCUCGGAGACUGGACCCGUCUGAAGCAGCGUGUCCGUGCAUCAAGGCCGUCAGCCCCAGUGAGGGAUGGACCACGGGGGGCGCCACCGUCAUCCUCAUUGGAGAGAACUUCUUUGACGGCCUUCAGGUGGUCUUCGGGAGCAUGCUGGUGUGGAGCGAGCUCAUCACACCGCACGCCAUCCGUGUGCAAACCCCCCCGCGCCACAUCCCCGGAGUGGUGGAGGUCACCUUGUCCUACAAGUCCAAGCACUUUUGCAAAGGGGCGCCUGGACGCUUCAUCUACACAGCCUUGAACGAGCCCACCAUCGAUUACGGCUUCCAGAGGCUACAGAAGGUCAUUCCUCGUCACCCCGGAGACCCUGAGAGGCUUCCCAAGGAAGUGCUCCUGAAGCGAGCGGCCGACAUGGCAGAGGCCUUGUACGCGGCGCCGCCCGGCAACCAGGAGACCAUCCUGAAGCGAGCGGCGGACGUGGCCGAGGCCCUCUACAGCGUCCCGCGCAGCCACGUGGCCCCCCCUCACGCCAUGAUGGGAGUUGGCUCCUUUGGCGGCGCCCAGCUGGGGCUCGACCUCAACGACGCUGCUCAAGGCGGCUACGCUCCCGGCAGCGGCCAGCCGUCCCCCAGAGGGUAUGCCCCCAGCCCCCCCGGCCAGCAGAGCAACUACGGCGCCUACGGCAACAGCAGCAUGCCCAACCUCGGGCUGGCGUCUUCACCCAACUUCCUCAACGGAUCCUCCGCCAACACGCCCUACGGCAUCGUGGCGACCAGUCCCACCGUGUCCGGCUGUAGCUCCGCCCACGGCGUCUUUGCCUUCUCUGCCAGCGUCAAAACCAAGAGCGCCUUUGCCCCCGUGGUGAGGCCCGCCGCAGCAGGAGCCACCCCGCCCCUGCCGCCGACCAACAACUGCGGACUCAACGCCGGACUGCAAGGCGUCCAAAUGGCACAUUCAAGCAAGGCGCUCGCGUCUCCAUCGCGAUGAACCUCAGACGAACAUGCUAGCGCUGCUCAACCAAGACUUGGACGCAACAUGUCCCGGAUGCACGCUGCCAACCUCCCAGGCCGCCCUCCCGCCGAUCUCCGUCCUUUUUACGAGCGCGCCUGCAUGGCGAAAUGACGCGCUUAUGCCCCGGGACGCACCUUUCCCCGCCCCCCUACCCGGCUGCCAUGGUUACUGCAGACUGGAGGCUCCACGUCGGCUGCUGGUCGUCUAUCUGCAUAUCUCGAAAGAGUAAACAAUCACAACAAAGUAACAAGUUGGAUAGCAAUCUGCUCAUUGCCGAGUGGUGAAGUGGUUGGCCAGAGGGACGAGCGGUGGCGUGGUAGGCCAGAAGGACGAGCAGUGAAGUAGUCUGCCAGUGGGAUGAGUGUUACUCCAUGCCUGGACCGAGACAAAAAGAGAUGGGUUGCUGAGGCAGUAACAAGGAAAUUGAAGUGCUGCUGGUCUGCAGCUUUCUUCUGGUCCUCAGCUUCCACUGCAAGCAGGUACUUGGUGCUCCACACGGGACACAAAAAUAACUGAUUCAAAUUUUGAAACAUGUUGGCUAAAGUGUCAUUUACUUUCCUUCUCUUACCAGCAGCAGGCUCUUCAGGCAGCACGGAUCCAGGUGAACGAGCUCAGAGUAGUUGUGGUUGAAAAACUGUGGCAGCCUUGGCACUUUGUAGACCAGGAUUUGUCACCUCUGCCUGGAAAGAAAAAGGAACAUUGACAACAAUUCCAUUUAAGUUUACUGGUUUUAUUUUUAAUUGUAGACUGGAAGCAGCCGUUUGCUGGUGCACAGGCAGAGUUGCUAAAAUGUUCAUACUCUCCAGGGUGGACACCUGCACACAAGACAAACAAGGGACCCAUCAAGCUGCUAUUUAGUACAUUUUAUAUGUGCGUCAACUCUGAAAUUGGAGGCAUUCUUGAGGAACCUCUGCAUGGUUUUGAGGGCUUUUACCUUUGGCCAGCAGGUGACAGAUUUUCUAACUGCAUCCUUACUGGAAAGUGCUCUGCAGGAAGAGGGAGGCAUAA